UUUCCGUUAUUCCGGGGAUUUUUCAUUUUUUUGGUUUUGCAGUUGGUGAUAUCUCUUCUCAAAGGGGAUGAGUUAAUGAAAACAAACCUUUUUUUUUCUGUAGGGGUUUUCUUUGUUUUUUAAAGCUAUUAUUCUUGGCAUAGGGAUAGUGAAAUCAGAUUGUACAAGACUAUGUAUGUGGAUUAGGCGAUCUACAUAGAUAAUGCAGGAAAUUUUUUCAAUGAUAACUCGACUUCCGAUAAGUCCAAGGUGGCGAUGAUUGUUAUCACACUCGAGAGAAGAUCAUGAAAAUCUUACAACUUGGCUCUUGGGAAGUAAAAUGGCGGAGUGCCCGGUGAACAAGCCAAGUUAUAUGUCCCUGGGGAUGGGUCCGAAGGAUGUUGGUCUUAAAAUAUGUCAUAUCUUGACGAAGGUUCCUGGAUGAGGUUGGACCUAUGGAUGUUGAGGUCAAGCAAUGGAAAAUUACUCAUCAUAGAAAACGGACUAGGAAACAACUACAAUGAACUCCCUGAAAAUGUGUAUUUUCGAAUUUAGUUGUUUACAUUAUACUGUGUGAAGCACUUUUUUUUGUCUUUUUUUUUUGUAUUGUAUGCCAGAAGAAUUGUUCCCGAAAGUAUAUAUCUGGAAGUUUGAUAAAUCCUUUUGUUUA